GGCCUCGUAACUCAGCUGGUAGAGCAUGCGCGUACAAAGCGUAGGCGGCGUCUAUGCGUGGGUUUGAAUCCCACCGAGGCUA
rfam:Echinostoma caproni strain Egypt genome assembly, scaffold: ECPE_scaffold0001890